rnacentral:rRNA from 1 species
AGCAGCCGCGGUAAUUCCAGCUCCAAUAGCGUAUAUUAAAGUUGUUGCAGUUAAAAAGCUCGUAGUUGAAUUUCGGGGUCAGUAGAUUGGUCGUGCCACUGGUAUGCACUGGUCUUACUGGCUCCUCCUUCCUGAUGAACCGUAAUGCCAUUAAUUUGGUGUUGCGGGGAGACUGGACUGUUACUUUGAAAAAUUAGAGUGUUUAAAGCAGGCUAACGCUUGAAUACAUUAGCAUGGAAUAAUGAAAUAGGACGUUCGAUCUUAUUUUGUUGGUUUCUAGGAUUGACGUAAUGAUUAAUAGGGAUAGUUGGGGGCAUUAGUAUUCAAUUGUCAGAGGUGAAAUUCUUGGAUUUAUUGAAGACUAACUACUGCGAAAGCAUUUGCCAAGGAUGUUUUCAUUAAUCAAGAACGAAAGUUAGGGGAUCGAAGACGAUCAGAUACCGUCGUAGU